UACAGAGGGUGCAAGCGUUGUUCGGAAUUACUGGGCGUAAAGCGCGUGUAGGCGGUUUGGUAAGUCGGUCGUGAAAUCCCUUGGCUUAACCAAGGAACUGCGAUCGAGACUGUCAAACUAGAGUAUCGGAGGGGGUGGCGGAAUUCCCGGUGUAGAGGUGAAAUUCGUAGAUAUCGGGAGGAACACCUGUGGCGAAGGCGGCCACCUGGAAGAUUACUGACGCUGAGACGCGAAAGCGUGGGGAGCAAACAGG
rnacentral:rRNA from 1 species